GCGGAGGAAAAGAAACCAACCGGGAUUGCCUUAGUAACGGCGAGUGAAGCGGCAAAAGCUCAAAUUUGAAAUCUGGCGUCUUCGACGUCCGAGUUGUAAUUUGAAGAAGGUAACUUUGUAGCUGGUCCUUGUCUAUGUUCCUUGGAACAGGACGUCAUAGAGGGUGAGAAUCCCGUGUGGCGAGGAUCCCAGUUAUUUGUAAAGUGCUUUCGACGAGUCGAGUUGUUUGGGAAUGCAGCUCUAAGUGGGUGGUAAAUUCCAUCUAAAGCUAAAUAUUGGCGAGAGACCGAUAGCGAACAAGUACAGUGAUGGAAAGAUGAAAAGAACUUUGAAAAGAGAGUGAAAAAGUACGUGAAAUUGUUGAAAGGGAAGGGCAUUUGAUCAGACAUGGCGUUUGCUUCGGCUUUCGCUGGGCCAGCAUCAGUUUUAGCGGUUGGAUAAAUCCUCGGGAAUGUGGCUCUGCUUCGGUAGAGUGUUAUAGCCCGUGGGAAUACAGCCAGCUGGGACUGAGGAUUGCGACUUUUGUCAAGGAUGCUGGCGUAAUGGUUAAAUGCCGCCCGUCUUGAAACACGG
rnacentral:rRNA from 1 species